CCAUAGCCCGGAUAGAAACGGCAUCCUUUUGUGGAGCAAAGCGGAACAAAAGAUACAGUGGAUAGCCGGAAAAAGC
rnacentral:sRNA from 1 species